AUAAUUAUAUUAUAUAUGUAUAUGAUACACAUGUAUAAAAAUCAAAUUAAUUGAGGGCAUAUGUAAAAACUUUAAAAAUUAGUGUUAUUGUGAAUUCAAAUCGGUUCGCACCACUAGGUCAAACAGAAAUCAAUCGAUAAAAUGUACGUCUAUCGACGCAGCGACGACGUUUCGCGAUGACAUAUAUUACAUAAGGCGCGGAAAUCCUAUUUAAGCAGAUCACAGCUGCUUCCGCUUGGCCACAUUUUGGAUCUCUCUUAAGUAUAUAUCUCUCUUCCAUCGUGCACAUUUACGAACUACUGGUCGAUUUUUCAUUUUUUUUAUUUUUAUUAUUAACAGAAGAAAAAAAAACAUAAAUACAAAAAAUUCUAUACGAUGCCAUUUUAGCACAUUUGAGAUACGUUUGUAAAAUUUUUUUCGUAUCGAAGUAUCAUUAGAGAGUGGUUUUUGCAAAGCUUUGAAAAUUGGUCUAAGUGUCUCGUUGCGAAGUGAUAAAUUGAUCCGUUUAAUUUUUUUCGUUCGUUCCGUAAUUCAAUAUAAAUAAACGCAAAUACUCGAUUUUACUCGAAUCAUCAUCAAUCACAAAAAAAGAAAAAAGAAAAAUUAGAUUACCAAAGGAAACGAUAGAUCACAAUAUGUAUUCGAAAUGAAAUUUGAUACAUCACAAUUAAAAAAAAUUUUAUCACUUCUAUAUCGAUCGAUAACUUAGUGUCCAUUGGACAAAAAUAUAUAUUAAUUUCGAAUUAAUUUCGAAAGUUUUAAAUCCUCCGUGUUUAUGCGAUCGAUCAUCGUACGGUAUAAUCGCGUGAUUCAUUAUAUAUUAAAAAAAAAAGGAAAGGAAAUGUAACAAAGAACAAAUAUAUAAAAACGCAUAAAAUUCUUCCUAGCUAAUUAAUGUCAUAUACAUAUUAUGCAUAUAUGCGUGCGCACGUGAUACUCAUUAUCAAAUUGUUCACGAUAUCUGAAUGCUUAAAACGUGCAUCAAAUCAAAUUUGGAUAGAUAAAAAUAAAAUAAAUUAAACAUUUUUAGGUUAAGUAAUAUGACAUUUUUAAUCGAUGUAUAAAAUAUAUAUAUAUAUAUGUGUGUGUAUAUAUAUAUAUAUAUAUUUGAUAAAAAAUUGAAUAAUACUUAACCAAAUGCACAGAUAUAAUAUACUUGUUUUAAAUUAUGCGUAUGAAUUAUGCUUGAGUUAAGUAGACAGGUUAGGUCUGAGUCAGAACUGUAGUCGAUGUUUACGAGUACGUAUACAUUUCAGUCCAUAUCUUCUCUGCAUUCUCAUCAACUUUCGCGUGUCUAUAUUAAAAAUUUAUUGCGAAAUAUUCGGCAACAAAUUUUACAUUUAAUAUAAAUUUUACUAUAAAUAGAUUUUUAAAUUCCAAUAUUUAAAAAAAAUAAAUCUAAAUUUUAUUACGAAAGAUAAACUCUUUUGUUCAAUUUCAUUGCACAUUACUGAAAUUAUACGUAUAUAUAUAUAUAUGAUAAUAAAAAUUCGUGUCAAUGGAAUAAUUAGAAAAAAAAAAAGAGAAAAGCUGAUCAAAGAUUUUUUUACGACAUUACCGUUCCAAUUUCUCAAUGACAAAGAAAAUUGGUUAGAAUGAUCCAAGUUCUCCAUAAUAUAAAUAAUAAUAAUUUAUUUGUGUUCAACAUUGUGCCUCGAUCUUUCACUUCAAUAAAAUGCUUCGUUGAAAUAUGUACGCUUUUAAAGCAAAAAGAUUAAAUUGCACUUUUAAUUUAUAAUUACUUUUUAAAAUUUAAAUUCAUAUAAUUAUUAAUGGAUUUAUUAAUAAUAUGUAAAAAAUAACAGAUAAUCGUUGUUAACUUUCCAUAUUUUAUCAUCCACAAUCUAUGCUCGUGAAUUUGAAACUUUAUUAUCGACCGUGAUAAAACAAGUCUCGUCGACGAUAAUUAUUAUUACAUAACCUGUGCAGAAUAAGGGUCACAAAGUAAAAUUACACAUCAGGGAAAUUGUUAAAAAGGGAACAAUUUUUUUCGCGAAAUAGAUGGCGGAAUAGUAUCGAGUCGGUCAAUGGCCUUUCUUCAUCGAACGGAGAUCAAUGAUGGCGAGUUCACAAACUUAAACCGAGAGAGUCGAGUGUUUUCGAGUGCAGUGCACUUGAAGAACCUUGAGGUCAGCUUCCUCUUCUCGAAGAAUGAACCACGGACCUUGAAAUCGAUCGCGCAACGAAACAACGCAACGAAAACUUUGAACAUUGCCGCGUUGUUGUUGAUUUGAGAUACACAUUGAGAUUUCAGAAAGGGAAAUAAUUCAUCCACGAACAAUUUCGAAAUAAGAAUUAGAACGUAAAAAAUAACUUUCUUUCGAUCACGAAUCGUUUAUUUUUUUCCUUUUUUUACCUUCUAACUUUUUAACCUAACUUUUAUUUCGUUUUUAUCUAUCUAUCUAUUUAUUUAUUUAUUCGCAUCAUGUUAAUAUUAUAAACGAAAUAAUAAUUUGAUCUCGCUAAAAUUUACUACGAAUCGAGCUACAAACAAGCAAUAACUAAUAACUGGAACGCAUGUAUGUUUUCAAUUGAUUCGCGUGCUAUCCCCAUAUAUAUAAGCGAGGCAACCCUGCUCUUCGUAUUGUUCUCAUCGUCUGGCGUGUCCCUUCGAUGAUUCAUCCGCCACGAUGCGAAUCGAACGCUCGUUUGCCCAUGUUGUUUCUGAACGCUGUCGCUUGGCCAAAGAAUUAAUUUUUUUCUUUUUCUUUUCUUUUCGCAUAACAGUGUUCAAAAUCGGAACUGGAUCUCGAAGAAUCCUGUGAAAGGCUUAAUGAACCGCGAGGCAUCUUCAAUGAAAGUUCCAAAUGUCAGCCCAGUGUCAACAUUUUUCGCAUUCAAGAAACGCUCGAAGCAAUUUCUACGACGUUGUUAGCCGAAAAACUUCUCUCCGAGACCGCACCCUUUUUUAAACGGUUAAACGGUUCUUAUGGAACGAACGUUUUGAUACGUGUAACGUUUUAAAAUUAAUAUUCGUGCCUUAUAAUAUCGAUAACUUCGAGUCGAGAAAUUUAUAUUACGAUAAAUAUUUUUUUCAAUAUAAUAAAAUAUUUCACGUUGAUUAAAUCGAUAAAAAAUAAUUUUUAAUCCGAAUGUUCGUAUGAUAUGAUUCAGACUAGGUUGAAAUAACGAAUUAGUAGAUGAUAAAAUACUAAGAAGGAAUUGAUAAUAAGAUAAAAAUCAAUGUUACGAAAUUCUCCGUUGUUUAGUCAUCGAGAUAACGCGAAAAAUGAUCUCAUUUGAUCUUAGGUUAAGUUUUAUUUUCUUCACGAAACGGAAUAACCGCAUUUCCGACUCUUGCUCAUUAGUUAGGGAUUGACCAGGUGUUUGUCAGCUGUUUUUAUCAUACGAUACUUAUUGGCGGAAAGAGUGAACUACGGACGACAGAGAAAUAUUCAUUCAAUUAUGUAAUGAUAGUAAACAAGUAUUCUUACGUGUGUUAACACGAUUGUAUUACGAGACGGCGAAUCGACGAAGAAUUGAUAAAGAUAAUGUAGAUAUUAUUGUUUCAGCAGUAAGUUGUUAUUUUUUUUCAAAAAAAAAAAAAUUACUGAUUUUAUCCGUGUGUAAUUACACGUAAUUUCCCCAGUGUACUUCAUGAAAAUAGUAACAGAAUUAUUUUCAAUGUUACCAACCGUGGAUACAUUUUAUUACGAUUACAAUUACGAAAGUAUUCAAUUAUUUUACUAGAAAAUUUUUACAUAAAAUUAAAAAUUUAGAAAUUAGAAUUUUACGAAAUACUCUUUUACGUAUAAAGAUAAUUAAUGUCGUCAAAAGUUUGUUUCACGUUCACAAUUAAAAAAAUUCUCUGCUCUCGUUUAUUACGAGUGUAAUUUACCGAGCGAAACGUUAUUUAGACAUUUAACCUCUUAAAUUAAAAAUUUCUUGAAAAUGAAACUUUUGACUAGACGAAUAAAAUUUCCAAAAGGCGUGCAAAAUUUCACAUUGAUGACGAAUUUCAGAAAUAUUUUUUAGCUAAUAUCAUUUUAAAGAGUAUCGAAAGAUAUUUUAUCUAUCGGCGAGCGAAAGAAAGAGAGGGAAGCAAGAGAUUUCACGCCGUGAGUCAUGAUACUGUUUAACGCGUACACAAUUAUUAUGUAUCACGUUAAUUUAUUAUUAACCUAGACACAUUCAACGUCAUCCUCUGUCUCUCCGUAAAAGAUGUUCUACACUAAAUUUUUCACAACUUAUUCGUUCGUUUUGUUAAAUUUGUCUCGUUAAACAACUUGGUGUUCUCGUUUAUAAAAAAUUGACGAGAGAAUCCUCAAAAAAAAAAAAGUUGGAAAAGAGAUAAUAUCGAGAGAUAAUUUAAAACUCUUUUUUAAAAUUAUUUGAAAUCUCUAUAAAUUAAACAACGACGACCUUGUUUAUACGUAAACAUUAAAUACGAUAAAACUUGUAUUACAUAAAAGAAUAUAUAGAUGUCUAUAUGAAUCACGAACAUACGUCAUUGUAUAAUUUAUAUGAUACGUUCAAAUAAAAAGAUAAUGAAUCAUUGGGGGAAAAUAAAAUUAGUAUCGUUAUCUUACAUGAAAUAUCGAUCGGCUAUUUUCGAUUACGAAAAAUGUAUUUACGGAAAAAAAAAAAAAAAAAAAAAAAAAAAAAAAAAAAGUAAAGAAAUAAAUAAAAAAAAAAAAAGAAACAAUAAAUUAUCUCCAUAAGAAAAAUACUGAAAAUCUUUUCUACUGCAGGAAAAAUAAUGCCAUCUGAUGGCCACUUGUUGUAUUAGCAGUUAUUAUUGCUCCUUCGUUAAACGCACUUGCAUAAUGACACUUCAAGUCCAGGUUUUUCCAAGUUUGUGGAAAAGAGUUUUUCAUUUAGCAUUCCUUUAAUCUUUCUGGAAAGAACACCAACAGUGUUCUUUCAUUAUCACUACCAAAAAAAAAAAAAAAAAAAAA
rnacentral:lncRNA from 1 species